GAGACACAAAAAGAAGAUUUUUCUUUUUUUUUUUUAGAGUGAAAUAGAGAGCGAGUAAAGCAGAAUCUGAAAUCAAGCAAAAAUAAAAAACUUCCAACAAAUUUCGUCUCUAUUAUCAAUCAAUCGAAAAUUAUCCAAAAAAAAAAAAUGAGGAAGGAAAAGCAUAACGAGUAAGUGAUUUUAUCCAUUUAGAGUUCUUUUUGUAUUUCUUUCUCUUGGAGUUGGAGGAGAACAGAUGAGUUCUUGUGGAGAAUGUCUCUUCUUUCACGCUCUGCAACACUCUCACCUCCGAAACGGCGUCGUAUGACUCCCAGAAAGUCUUACUCAGUUCAGUUCUUGGACCAAGAAUCAGCCACCACAUACUUUUCACAGGUUAUGGUGACAGUUUGGCCUUCUUACUCUUGAUAACUAGACCCUUAGCAGCCCAGGUCAAUUCCUCUGAGUUGACCAAGAACGAAAAAGGAUCAUGUUGGUUUGGAUACGAAUCAAGAUUUCUUUUUGUAUUUCUUUCUCUUAGAAUCGAAGGAGAACAGAGAAGUUCUUGUGGAAAAUGUCUAUUCUUUUACGCUCCGCAACACUCUCACCUCUGAAACGUCGUCGUAGGAUUCCCACAUAAUCUUACCCAGUUCAGUUCUUGGACCAAGAAUUGGCCACCACAUACUUUUCACAUGUUAUGGUGACGGCUUGACCUUCAUACUCUCUCCCGAUAACUAGAUUCUCGGCAGCCCAGGUCAAUUCCUUCCAGUUGAUCAAGAACGAGAGAGAAUCAUGUUGGUUUGGAUGCCGACCAAGAUUUCUUUUUGCAUUUUUUUCUCUUAGAGUCGAAGAAGAACAAAGGAGUUCUUGUGGAAAAUAUCUCUUCUUUCACGCUCCGUAAGACUCUCACCUCUUAAAUGGCAUUGUAGGACUCCCAGAGUGUCUUUCUCAGUUCAAUUUUUGGACCAAAAAUCGGCCACCACAUACUUUUCAUAGGCUAUGGUGACGGUUUGGCCUUCUUCCUCUCUCCUGAUAACCAGACCCUCGAUAGACCAGGUCAAUUCCUCCCAUUUGACUAAGAACGAAAGAGAAUCAUGUUGGUUUGGAUACCGAUCAAGAUUUCUUUUUGCAUUUAUUUCUCUUGGAAUCGAAGGAGAACAGAGGAGUUCUUGUGGAGAAUAUCUCUUCUUUCAUGCUCGUAACACUCUCACCUCUAAAAUGACGUCGUAGGACUCCCAAAAAGUCUUAACCUCGUUUAGUUCUUUGACUAAGAAUCGGCCACCACAUAUUUUUCAUAGGUUAUGGUAACGGUUUAGCCUUCUUGCUCUCUCUUGAUAACUAAACCCUCGACAACUCAGGUCAAUUCCUCCUAGUUGAGUAAGAACGAGAAAGAAUCAUGUUGGUUUGGAUAUCGAUCAAGAUUUCUGAUUUUGAUAAAGUCUCGGCCGGAUUUCAUCACUGGUUGUUAUCAAAUGACAUUGGAAUCUUGAAUUUGUUCUUUAGUAGUUCGAGGUUGGAGAAAUUCGAAAAACAGGAUGCUCCAUUGUUGAUAUUUACCUCUCUCUUUUCCUUAAGGAGAACAUGAACGUGGGAUUCGGUACAAGGUUCCUUACCUUAUGAUUUUUCUUCUCCCUUCUGUGAUUUAUUUUCUUGAGAAGAAACAUUAAGUCUCUUUUUCAUGAGAAGAAGAUUAAUUUUAUUUAAUAUUUAUCAUGUCUUUUUUAUGUAAGAACUUUCAACGAGUUAGUGAUUUUUGAUUACCUUAUGAUUUAUACGCUAAAGCUAUAAUAGUUUCAAGCUUUGAAUUUCCCUAAUAUCUAAUAUGUUAUGCUUCAUCUUUAUAGUAGCUGUGGUUCUUUCUUUAUUUUUGGCUCCUUCCAACCUAUUGCAAAAAGACUAAUGAAAGAUAGAAAAUUAGUGCAGCGGUAAUUGACAACCAAGAUUGUAAAACCCAUGAAAACUGUAAGUAUUAUCAUUUCACUCCUGCCUGUAUGUACAUUUAAAUCAUAACAUAAUUUUCAAUUUAAAUUUUCUACUUUUGCUAAAAUAAUAAUCUAUUAAUUACCAUCUCCAUGACAAAAGUACAUCAGUUAGUCUUUUUGAUCAAAAGACAAAAUGUCAAAUGAUUAUAGAAUUUCAAGACUACUUGUUUCUAUUCGACCCUGAUUGUGAACUUUCUACACUACUUGUAAGAAAGCCAAAACUUGGUAAAGUUCUCUGCCAAUUCGGCUGCUUUGUGACUCUUUAUAUGUGAGAAUGCAUCUACUUUAUUGUUCUUGUUGUUUGUUCUCAAACAACAUAAAAUACUUUCUUUUUGGUUCUUCAUUUAGGUGAUGAAAAGAAAGCUUCUUUAUCAAACUCACAACCUGGAAGAGAGCCUCAAUUGGAGCAGCCUAAAAAACCUCUGAUAAUUACGAUUAAGUCGCGUCCCAAUCAUCAGAUUCUGAGUCAAUCUAAAGCAUUUUGGCAAGAAUUGCAGCCUCCAACAAGGCAACGCAUGUGCAAGCUAAAGCUUAUUAAAAAAUGGCAUGGCAUGGGGAAGCUGAAGCUCAUCCAAAGACAAGAGCACCUCUGCAAAAAUUGCAGCCUCCAACAGGGCAUGGCAUGGGGAAGCCGAAACUUAUUCAAAAACUUGAGAAUUUGCAGUCUCCAACCAAAUAACACAUGGGAAAACCAAUACUUAUUGAAAAACAUGAGAGUUUGCACCCUCCAACCAAGCAACACGUGGGGAAACCGAUACUUAUUGAAAAAUAUGACGCAAACCUAUUUCUCUCUCACACAAGUAUAAGGAUGUAAAUGCUCAUAGCCCAUCGAUUCAUUUUAAAGUGCUUUUGCAGAGUUUGCAACCUCCAACCAAGCAACGCGUGAGGAAGCCGAUACUUAUUAAAAAACAUGAGAAUUUGCAGCCUCCAACCAAGCUACGAGUGGGAAGUCAAUACUUAUUAAACAAUAUGAGAGUUUGCAGCCUCCAACCAAGCAAUGCGUGGGGAAGCCGAUACUUAUUAAAAAACAUGAGAGUUUGCAGCCUCAAACUAAGCAACGUGUGGAAAAACCGAUACUUAUUAAAAAACACAAGCUUAAACGGCCUAGGCCUUCAAUUAUUGAUGAAGAGUACAUUGAGUCUCAAAUGAAGUUGAUUCUCUAAAAAUUAGCUAGAUAAGAUUGUUUAAUUUUCAUAUUAUCGAUUUUUUAUUUUACAUGGUUACAUGUUAUUUUCUUAUAAUGUUUGAUUCAAACUACAUAUAUUUUCAUAGCUGAAUUAUAUAUGGUUUAGACUAGAAAUAGCUAUAUGAAAGUUGAUUACAACAAUGGAGAUACUAAAUGCAUGAUAUCCAGUUUUAAA